rnacentral:piRNA from 1 species
UGGAGAUGACUUGGAACAACAUG